CCCUAUGGGGUGCAGCAGGCGCGAAAACUUUACAAUGCGAGAAAUCGUGAUAAGGGAACCCCGAGUGCCCGUAAAUUCGGGCUGUCCAUCAGUGUAAAUAACUGGUGAAGAAAGGGCCGGGCAAGACCGGUGCCAGCCGCCGCGGUAAUACCGGCGGCUCGAGUGGUGGCCACUAUUACUGGGCUUAAAGCGUCCGUAGCUGGAUUGUUAAGUCUCUUGGGAAAUCCACCGGCUCAACCGAUGGGCGUUCAGGAGAAACUGGCAAUCUAGGGACCGGGAGAGGUGAGAGGUACUCCAGGGGUAGGAGUGAAAUCCUGUAAUCCUUGGGGGACCACCUGUGGCGAAGGCGUCUCACUAGAACGGCUCCGACAGUGAGGGACGAAAGCUGGGGGAGCAAACCGG
rnacentral:rRNA from 1 species